UACGUAGGGGGCAAGCGUUGUCCGGAAUCAUUGGGCGUAAAGCGCGUGUAGGCGGUUCGGUAAGUCUGCUGUGAAAGUCCAGGGCUCAACCCUGGGAUGCCGGUGGAUACUGUCGGACUAGAGUACGGAAGAGGCGAGUGGAAUUCCCGGUGUAGCGGUGAAAUGCGCAGAUAUCGGGAGGAACACCGAUGGCGAAGGCAGGUCUCUGGGCCACUACUGACGCUGAGAAGCGAAAGCAUGGGGAGCGAACAGG
rnacentral:rRNA from 1 species